rnacentral:ribozyme from 1 species
UGCCCAGCAACUCCUAUCCCUACCUCCACGUGGUUCCGGCUGGAACUAUGUGCAACCUUAGGGAAGAUCGGGUAAACCAACACCGGUGGGAACUUUCGUGGUAGGCUGACAGGAUAGG